CUGGGUUUGACAUGGCCGCUAAUCCCACAGAGAUGUGGGGUCCUUCGGGGGCGGUCACAGGUGGUGCAUGGCUGUCGUCAGCUCGUGUCGUGAGAUGUUGGGUUAAGUCCCGCAACGAGCGCAACCCUCGUUCGAUGUUGCCAGCGGGUUAUGCCGGGGACUCAUCGAAGACUGCCGGGGUCAACUCGGAGGAAGGUGGGGAUGAGGUCAAGUCAUCAUGCCCCUUAUGUCCAGGGCUUCACGCAUGCUACAAUGGCCGGUACAAAGGGCUGCGAUGCCGUAAGGUGGAGCGAAUCCCAAAAAGCCGGUCUCAGUUCGGAUCGGGGUCUGCAACUCGACCCCGUGAAGUUGGAGUCGCUAGUAAUCGCAGAUCAGCAACGCUGCGGUGAAUACGUUCCC
rnacentral:rRNA from 1 species